AUGGCGGCGCCCGCAGAGGCAGCUGAGUCGCAGGCUUCGGGGGGUCCUCGCCCCUCAGUUUGUCUAGGCUUACUGGACAUCUACAUAGCCAAGGCUCUCCACCUUAUGUGAUUAAUCUGGACCCAGCUGUACAUGAAGUACCCUUUCCUGCCAAUAUUGGUGAUGAAAUUUAUUGAGAAGGCCCAGAACAUGUCUAAAUAUGUCUUGAUUGACACACCUGGACAGAUUGAAGUGUUCACGUGGUCAGCUUCUGGGACAAUCAUCACUGAGGCCCUGGCAUCCUCAUUUCCAACAGUUGUCAUUUAUGUAAUGGACACAUCAAGAAGUACCAACCCAGUGACCUUCAUGUCCAAUAUGCUCUAUGCCUGCAGCAUCUUGUACAAAACCAAGCUGCCUUUCAUUGUGGUUAUGAAUAAAACUGACAUCAUUGAUCACAGCUUUGCAGUGGAAUGGAUGCAAGAUUUUGAGGCUUUCCAAGAUGCCUUGAAUCAAGAGACUACAUACAUCAGUAACCUGACUCGUUCAAUGAGCCUGGUGUUAGAUGAAUUUUACAGCGCACUUAGGGUGGUGGGUGUGUCUGCUGUUCUGGGUACAGGCUUAGAUGAAUUCUUCAUGCAAGUCACCAGUGCUGCAGAAGAAUAUGAAAGGGAGUAUCGUCCUGAAUAUGAACGUCUGAAGAAGUCACUGGCCAGUGCACAGAGCCAGCAGCAGAAGGAACAACUGGAACGCCUUCGGAAAGAUCUGGGCUCUGUAGCCUUGGACACAGGGACUGCCACAGACAGCUUAUCUCCUGCACUUGACCCUUCUGACUUGAUCCUGACUCGGGGAACUUUGGAUGAAGAGGCUGAGGAAGCAGACAGUGAUACUGAUGAUAUUGACCACAGAGUUACAGAGGAAAGCUGUGAAGAGCCAGCAUUCCAGAAUUUUAUGCAAGAAUCAAUGGCACAGUAUUGGAAGAGAAACAAGUAGUUCCUAGAAGUCCAGAAUUUUGGAACUCUGUGAAGGAACUAUCCUAACCUCUGAUUGGCGGCUACUAUAAAGGACAAUUUUGUUCAGAGUUAGCAGAGUUUCUCUUAUAGGGAAAUUUGACUUAGAUGCAGCCAGGGAUAGAAAAACCACUGGACGUGGCAGGUAGAUGCCAAUUCCCCUUGGCCUAUCCCUUGGAUUUAUGCAAGGAAGGAUAUUCUGACUAUUCUUGGAUGCUGAUAUCCCUUCAAGCCUAAAGCUUCAAGUUUUAUCAUUUGAACUGAAGUAUUUUUGCUGCUGAUGGAUGGAACAGUGAGAACUUUUCACUUCAAAUCUCUGUCAGGUUGGGUCUGUAUUCUACUUUCCCAGCAUCUUGCCCUUGACCCUGUACCAUGAGUUCCCCUCUUUUUAGCCGAAAGGGAGAGGAAACAUGAGCUUGCCCAGGGUGGCAGUGGAGUCUCCUUGGCAACCAGUCAAUGUUGGGUACAAAGUGUGCCUCACAUGGGGGUAACUCAUUAUGGACAACAGGUACAUUGCAGAAAGUGAGCAAAACAUAUGACUAAUGAAUAAGAAUCCUGCUUUGGAUGAUGACUUGGAUAAUUUUAACUUUGUUAUAAGCCUGCCUGUCAUAAUUUCAAAUAAGAAAAUUAUGUAAUUGCAAGUAGGUUCGCUUCUAUUCAACACAGAGGUUUAAAGCCACAUGUCCAAACC